rnacentral:rRNA from 1 species
GACGUAGGGGGCCAGCGUUGUUCGGAAUUACUGGGUGUAAAGGGUUCGUAGGCGGUGUGGCAAGUCGGGAGUGAAAUCUCUGGGCUCAACCCAGAGACUGCUUCCGAAACUGCUGUGCUUGAGUGUGAGAGAGGCUCGUGGAAUUGCAGGUGUAGCGGUGAAAUGCGUAGAUAUCGUAAGGAAGACCAGUGGCGAAGGCGGGUCUCUGGACAGUUCCUGACGCUGAGGCACGAAGGUCAGGGGAGCAAACGGG